rnacentral:rRNA from 1 species
CAGUCGCCACGGGAAUACGGAGGGUGCAAGCGUUAAUCGGAAUUACUGGGCGUAAAGCGUGCGUAGGCGGUUCGUUAAGACAGAUGUGAAAUCCCCGGGCUUAACCUGGGAACUGCAUUUGUGACUGGCGAGCUAGAGUAUGGCAGAGGGGGGUAGAAUUCCACGUGUAGCAGUGAAAUGCGUAGAGAUGUGGAGGAAUACCGAUGGCGAAGGCAGCCCCCUGGGCCAAUACUGACGCUCAUGCACGAAAGCGUGGGGAGCAAACAGGAUUAGAUACCCCUGUAGUCCCUGUCUCUUAUAC